ACAGUGGGGCUGCAGCUUUCUUUGGAGUGUCCAUGCUCUGCCCCAGGAAUGAACAUUUGGGGACUUCCAUAAAAGGAAAAUAGUUGGAGAUGAAUAGUACAUGAGAAAAACAGUACAUGACCAUUUGCAUAAGAUAAAAUAAAGGGAUAUAUGUUCAAUAUAAUUAGAACCUAACAAAACAUACCAUUACCAGUGUCUUAUAUUAAUAUAGUAAGGCAUACUGAGAUUUCACCUAUUUAAAAGGAGACCUUAGUACUGCCAAGGAAAACUUGGGACUCAAGAUGUUACACCUUAUUUAAUGAUUGUUAAAACAGAUCUAAGUAGAAAUGUUGGUCUGACAGAUGACACAGCAGAGCAUCAUUGCUUUUUGGGUAUUGAUGAGAGUUUUAGUUUUGGUAUUGACCAGAGAACCAUGGUCACCCUGGGCAGUUAUUUCUUAUCCUUGGUCUAGGCUUCCCAAAGCAUGAUUUAGUAUCAAGGCCUGUUUGCAAUUGUGUUUAUCUCCAAAUCUGAGCUCCAGUCUGCAAACACUGAAUCUGUUGCCUAGUUGUUUGCAGUCUGAAAGCCUAGUUGAUGCUGGUUCCUUACAUUCAGGAUCUGAUCUAGGCCAGCAAGACUUUUUAAGAACUUUGUCCAGUGUUUGUCAAGUCCCAAUACCUUUGUUUAUUUCAUAUCUCACUGAAGUGAAAUAUUCCCCUACACUUAGGUGUUUACUGAGAAAGAAUCACUGCAUCUUAAGGCCUGAUCUGUUGGUAAACAGAUCUUGAAUCCUAAGUUAAAGUCACUAGUCAUUAUCCCUGAAGCAGUAUACUGGCCUCUUGCUUUAGACACUGUCAGCUUUUCUGCUUAAUUUUCAGUAUAAACUUUGGGUAUGUCCUUCAUUUGUUAUAAAGCUUAAUCAUUCAUAAUCAUGGAUUGAACUCCUGGCUUGCUAGUUGUUGUGGUUACAAGAUUGGAUCAUAAUAUUGAUGUAUUUCUCAUUUUGAUUCAGUGAGUGAUGUCCAGUGCCACGGAUGAGCUUCUGAAAGCACGGGCACCAAGUUACCUAGUGAUGUGUUGGUAAUUUGGUUAAAGUCAGAUCAGCAGCUUGGGGUUUUGUUUAAAAUUUUAUAUUUUUUAAAAGUAAAAUUCCUUCAAUUUAUAGCCAAGUACCAAUUAAAUUCACUUCAAUCCUCAUUAAAAAUACAUACUUUGGCCUAUGAUACUGAUGAUUUAAAAA